AUUGAACGCUGGCGGCAUGCCUUACACAUGCAAGUCGAACGGUAACGGGCCUUCGGGUGCCGACGAGUGGCGAACGGGUGAGUAAUACAUCGGAACGUGCCCGAUCGUGGGGGAUAACGAGGCGAAAGCUUUGCUAAUACCGCAUACGAUCUACGGAUGAAAGCAGGGGACCGCAAGGCCUUGCGCGGACGGAGCGGCCGAUGGCAGAUUAGGUAGUUGGUGGGAUAAAAGCUUACCAAGCCGACGAUCUGUAGCUGGUCUGAUAGGAUGAUCAGCCACACUGGGACUGAGACACGGCCCAGACUCCUACGGGAGGCAGCAGUGGGGAAUUUUGGACAAUGGGCGCAAGCCUGAUCCAGCCAUGCCGCGUGCAGGAUGAAGGCCUUCGGGUUGUAAACUGCUUUUGUACGGAACGAAAAGCCUUCUUUUAAUACAGGAGGGUCAUGACGGUACCGUAAGAAUAAGCACCGGCUAACUACGUG
rnacentral:rRNA from 1 species